UGAGCAAUCUGCCCUUCACAUCGGAAUAACCAUUGGAAACGAUGGCUAAUACCGAAUAUGACUUCGGAUCGCAUGAUCUGAAGUGGAAAGCUCCGGCGGUGAAGGAUGAGCUCGCGGCCUAUCAGCUUGUUGGUGAGGUAAUAGCUCACCAAGGCGAUGACGGGUAGCCGGCCUGAGAGGGUGACCGGCCACACUGGGACUGAGGCACGGCAGA
rnacentral:rRNA from 1 species